CAGGUUCUUCUCUUGUUUAAAGCUCGUGUUUAUACCCAGGGGCAACUGAUAGAACUUAUCCUCACUUUUCUGUCUCCAUUUGUCAUUAACAUUUUACUCAACCCCUCAUAAUGAAGAACAGCUUCCAGAAUGACUCUGUGACGGCCACACAGAGAAAGAAGAUCAAUGCAAAUCUGAAAAACCUCAUCCUACAACCAUCUACAAGCAUUCAACACAGAUGCUUCAGGCAGAAAUCACUCACAGCAGAGCAAUGGAGGAAGAGCAAGGAAGGAAGAGAAGCAGAAGAAAACCAAAAUUUUCUUCCUAAUUCAUAGACAUUAA